UACGAAGGGUGCAAGCGUUACUCGGAAUUACUGGGCGUAAAGCGUGCGUAGGUGGUUUGUUAAGUCUGUUGUGAAAGCCCCGGGCUCAACCUGGGAAUGGCAAUGGAUACUGGCAAGCUAGAGUGCGGUAGAGGGUAGUGGAAUUCCCGGUGUAGCGGUGAAAUGCGCAGAUAUCAGGAAGAACACCCGUGGCGAAGGCGGCUCUCGUGGAACGCAACUGACGCUGAGACGCGAAAGCGUGGGG
rnacentral:rRNA from 1 species